AAACAGGCAUAGCUGACUGAUGGGGCUAACCUUUGCCCGCAGCCAGUUCCAAUGGCUGCUAGAAAAGGGCCCUAUUAAAAAAAAUUCCGCAGCCCUAAUUUCAUUUCCGCCACUCGAUCUCUCUCUGCCUCUCCCUCUCCCUCUCCACUCCCUCAAGCUCUCUCUCUCUCUCUCUCUCUCUCUCUCUCUCUCUGCACCUCUCUGUCUCUGUUCAAUCUCUCUCUACAUCUUUCUCUCUGUCUCUCCCUCUCCACUCUCAAACCCAUCGCCGACACUCUCUCUCUCUCUCUGUCUUCCAUCCUCCAGCACAAACCGAAGACCGUAGUUGUUGUACUGCUUGUCCAUCCUGCACGAUCAGAGCACCAGGUCCAGCCAUAUCUGGUCCUUUUACUCACUGCAAACAGAUUGAGUGGCAUCUUCAUAUUAUCUUCGAUUCAGAUAAGAAUUCUCAACAACUACCAAAUUCCAGCCUUGCAAUCCUGCAGUGGGAGGACCUGCAAAAUCUCAACUGGUACAUGAGGUAUAUUCACUGGGUGGUGAAAUUGGGAAAACUGUUGAUAGGUAAUAUUCCAGAAAACACUUUACUUUGAAUGAAUUUUCCUUUGACACUGUUUAUUGAUUUGAUAAUCUAUGUUAGAAAAUAGGAAGUAUUCCUUGUGGUUAUUUCAUUUGGUUUUGCAUCAGUUUGUUGAUUUUUAAUUGUUGGUGGUCUUCAAACCAUGGAUUAGCUACUGUUUUUAUUGUGUACCAGUAAGGACCAUAUUUAUUUUUAUUUUUUUGAAUUUUGAAUUUGGUGUUUGGAUUAUCAUCUUCUGGUUUGAUUUUAUUGCCAGCUUCACUUGUCUUUUCUGCAUAAACUGUUGUUUGGUGACAACAUCUUAAUCUCUGGCUCUAAUCUUGUAUGUUUAACAUUAUCAUAUAGAUUUGAUCAGAAUAUCCUCUCUAUCCAUCAACAAGACUUGCAAGUUGUAAAGAUCUUUCAGAAUGAUGACAGUGAGAACUCGGAUUUUCCUAAACCUUGGAAUCAAGCUGAUUUUGAGGGAUUGUUGUUUGCUCUUGCAUGGAAGGUCUGUUUUUCACAUUUCCUUUCAAAGAAAUAUAUUGUUGGUUUGAGUUCUCUAACCAUCUUCCACUAUUCUAUAGGGUGUGGGAAAUAGGGAAGCUGUAUGGCAGCGUAGAUACUUUUAUCUGGUCGGGCCAUUUCUUUAUAUACUAGAAAGCCCUGCUUCCUAAAUUUACAAACAGUGUCUCAGGUUCUUAGAUAGUACUCUUUUAUUUUGCUCAUAUCUAGCAUUUUGUAUCUGACUGUCCUUUCAAAAUUCCAGAUUUUAAGCUGUAAAUGAGUGCACCAGAAAAUAGUUAUAAAAACUGUUAAAUCUGUCACCUCUCUCUUCUCCAACCUACGAGGAAAACAAGUAUAUCAGGUUCCUCCGGAGCAUGCUGGCAAUGUGGAAAAUGUGUUAGCAGUUUGUGAUGUUGGGCAAUCAAACAUCAAGGUCAUCGAACUUGUUAAUGCAUUGAUUUUGCGAUGUGAUAAUGAUAAUUCGUGGCGAACUUGGUAGAACUACCUUCAAGGGGCUAUCUAUCGUGCAUCGGUGGGUUCUCCUGGUUUAUAUUUAGGCAUGCACAUAUCUCUCACUUAUCAUGUGUGGACUUGUUGAAAUCCUGUUUGUCUUCAACUUGGGUUUGAUAAGAUAUUUGAAAGCUAAGUUUUUCCUUAAUAAUAUUUAGUCUUUGAAAAGGUUGUUUUAACUUACAUAUGUUUUCCAAUUACAAAUUCAGAUAAACUACACAUAAGACGUAACUUUAUUGGUUUAAAAGAUAAUUUUCCUUUAAUUAUGUUUAAUCCAUGAUAAGCUUAGGUUGGUUUACAUUUAUGUCCAUAUCACAACUUCAUACAAUUUAUACAGAAAUUUAGUUAUUUAGCUUGUUUUCAAGUUUGGAACCAAGUACAUAGAACUCAUGUAGUUUAUAAAGAGAGUAAACAUGGGGUAAUUAUUCUCAUUUGUGAACUUUUCACUUAGAGCCCUGUCAUUCUAGCACAUGCAUCAGAUGUCUAGCUGUGGAAAAUGGAGACCAAACCAUGACAAUUAACUGGCAUGAAAAUUGGCCUAUCCAUCUGUUGGGUGGGUUCACCAUUACAUUGAGUCAGAUCACGGGCUGUCCAUUUAUAUUGAAUGGGCAAGCCACCUGUUGAGUGAACUAACAUCCAUUCUAAUCCUUGGAAUCUUUAUGGUGUGGCCCACCUUCUGCACAGCUCUGAAACAUGUGACAAUUUGCAGAGAAAGACAGGAUUGUGCAAGAUCUAAGUCACUCAUUAGGUGAUCCCAAUUUGUAGCUCCAUGGUUUAAAAAAUCAGACUUCUUUUAUUUUUUUAUUAAGGAAUCAUAUGAAGAGUUUAAGCACGUGCUUCUUGCAUUUAUAUUUGACAAAGGAUUAGACAUCUCCUGUGGCAAACGAGUAUUAAUUUGCUAGA